GCUCCAGACUCCUACGGGAGGCAGCAGUGAGGAAUAUUGGUCAAUGGCCGGAAGGCUGAACCAGCCAAGUCGCGUGAGGGAAUAAGGCCCUAUGGGUCGUAAACCUCUUUUGUCAGGGAGCAAAGGCGUCCACGUGUGGACGAGAGGAGAGUACCUGAAGAAAAAGCAUCGGCUAACUCCGUGCCAGCAGCCGCGGUAAUACGGAGGAUGCGAGCGUUAUCCGGAUUUAUUGGGUUUAAAGGGUGCGUAGGCGGAGUGUCAAGUCAGCGGUAAAAUUUCGGGGCUCAACCCCGUCGUGCCGUUGAAACUGACGCCCUUGAGUGAGUGAGAAGUAAGCGGAAUGCGUGGUGUAGCGGUGAAAUGCAUAGAUAUCACGCAGAACGCCGAUUGCGAAGGCAGCUUACCAAGCUACUUCUGACGUUGAGGCACGAAAGCGUGGGGAGCAAACAGGAUUAGAUACCCGCGUA
rnacentral:rRNA from 1 species